CUUCUCUGAUGUUAGCGGCGGACGGGUGAGUAACACGUGGGUAACCUACCUAUAAGACUGGGAUAACUCCGGGAAACCGGGGCUAAUACCGGAUAAUAUUUUGAACCGCAUGGUUCAAUAGUGAAAGACGGUUUCGGCUGUCACUUAUAGAUGGACCCGCGCCGUAUUAGCUAGUUGGUAAGGUAACGGCUUACCAAGGCGACGAUACGUAGCCGACCUGAGAGGGUGAUCGGCCACACUGGAACUGAGACACGGUCCAGACUCCUACGGGAGGCAGCAGUU
rnacentral:rRNA from 1 species